UUUUUCAAAUGCCCUUGGCAAUCAUUAUCCACCUGACCGUUUGAUCUCUUUUUCAGUUCAGGCAUUUCUGGCUUACUUUUUCCUUUUUUCUUUUUUUUUCUUCUCUUUUUUCCUUCCUUUUUUUCUUUUUUUUCUCUUUUUUCCUUCCUUUUUUUCUUUUUUCUUUUUUUUUUCUUCUCUUUUUUCCUUCCUUUUUUUUCUUUUUUUUUUGCAGGAUCGACCUCGAUUCCUCUUUAGUUCCCAAUAAGCCCCGGCAACUUACCGGACAACACUCCACAAGUGCACUGAUUCGGACUCAAUAUCCGUCUGAGUUGUCUCAACCCGGUCAAAC
rnacentral:lncRNA from 1 species